AUUGAACGCUGGCGGAAUGCUUUACACAUGCAAGUCGAACGGCAGCACGGGGGCAACCUUGGUGGCGAGUGGCGAACGGGUGAGUAACACAUCGGAACAUGCCCAGUCGUGGGGGAUAACGUAGCGAAAGUUACGCUAAUACCGCAUACGAUCUAAGGAUGAAAGCGGGGGACCGUAAGGCCUCGCGCGAUUGGAGUGGCCGAUGCCAGAUUAGGUAGUUGGUGGGGUAAAGGCUCACCAAGCCAACGAUCUGUAGCUGGUCUGAGAGGACGACCAGCAACCCUGGGACUGAGACACGGCCCAGACUCCUACGGGAGGCAGCAGUGGGGAAUUUUGGACAAUGGGCGCAAGCCUGAUCCAGCCAUUCCGCGUGCAGGACGAAGGCCUUCGGGUUGUAAACUGCUUUUGUACGGAGCGAAAAGCCUUGGGUUAAUACCUCGGGGUCAUGACGGUACCGUAAGAAUAAGCACCGGCUAACUACGUGCCAGCCGCCGCGGUAA
rnacentral:rRNA from 1 species